CUGAGAAUAAACCACGAUAGGUCACAAUUUCUGGAAUGGAUCAUGGCUUAAAUCUACAUGGCCCCUGGAUUGGACUGCGGCCGAUCAGGCUGUUGGUGAGGUAAUGGCCCACCAAACCUAUAACCGGUACGGGCUCUGAGAGGAGAAGCCCGGAGAUGGGCACUGAGACAAGGGCCCAGGCCCUAUGGGGCGCAGCAGGCGCGAAACCUCUGCAAUAGGCGAAAGCCUGACAGGGUUACUCUGAGUGAUUUCCGCUAAGGGGAUCUUUUGGCACCUCUAAAAAUGGUGCAGAAUAAGGGGUGGGCAAGUCUGGUGUCAGCCGCCGCGGUAAUACCAGCACCCCGAGUGGUCGGGACGAUUAUUGGGCCUAAAGCAUCCGUAGCCGGUUCUGCAAGUCUUCCGUUAAAUCCAGCCGCUCAACGGAUGGGCCGCGGAGGAUACUACAGGACUAGGAGGCGGGAGAGGCAAGCGGUACUCAGCGGGUAGGGGUAAAAUCCUUUGAUCCAUUGAAGACCACCAGUGGCGAAGGCGGCUUGCCAGAACGCGCUCGACGGUGAGGGAUGAAAGCUGGGGGAGCAAACCGGAUUAGAUACCCGGGUAGUCCCAGCUGUAAACGAUGCAGACUCGGUGAUGGGCUAGCCUUGUGCCAGCCCAGUGCCGCAGGGAAGCCGUUAAGUCUGCCGCCUGGGGAGUACGGUCGCAAGACUGA
rnacentral:rRNA from 1 species